GCUGAGGCUUGAGUGUGCCAGAGGGCUCAGCAGCUAAUGCAUCCCAUUCGACAGAGGCUGCGCUGGCUAAUGCCUCCCUGGAGGGAAGUCUCCCUAAUUAAUCCACCAUUUCCACUUUAGCUGCACCCUCCCCUCUGAGACCUGGAGGAAGUGUGGAUGGGGCCUGAGUUCACUCUGAUGCAGGAGGGGAUUGCUUAGAGAACCUGAGAGGUUUAAAAUCAGAUUGAAGAGGAUAAAAACACCAGUGCUUUGGUACUAUGGGUCACAGGUCAGCAUACAGCACAAUUGAUUUUAAAUGUGAUGAACAUGCAGACUGUCAGCUUUUAUUUUAAAGACGUGAUGGAGAACUUGCAUAUGCUUUGGUGGAAGAGUGGAGGAACAUCUCACAGCAAGAACUGACAAAUUUGGUGCAGUGCAUGAGGAUGAGAUGCACUGUAGUACUUAAAGCAGCUGGAGGCUACCACAUACUGACUGUUACUUUUAAAAUUGCCCCCCCCUUUGUUCAUGGACUCAUUAUUCCAUUUCUGUUUAUCAAAUGUCUGUUAAAAUUCUUCAGUUUAUGUCUUAGUUGUUGAAAGUUUUUAUGUUAAUACAAAUAUUUACACAUGUUAAGAAACUUGC
ensembl:lncRNA